rnacentral:miRNA from 1 species
GGUGACCAAUUGUUCUGGUCUGCCUGGGACUGAGGGGUUUCCUUGGAUGUGGGGUUUUCAGUGCUA